rnacentral:rRNA from 1 species
CCUACGGGUGGCUGCAGUGGGGAAUAUUGGACAAUGGGGGGAACCCUGAUCCAGCCAUGCCGCGUGUGUGAAGAAGGCCCUCGGGUUGUAAAGCACUUUCAGUGAGGAAGAACGCCUGGUGGUUAAUACCCAUCAGGAAAGGCAUCACUCACAGAAGAAGCACCGGCUAACUCCGUGCCAGCAGCCGCGGUAAUACGGAGGGUGCGAGCGUUAAUCGGAAUUACUGGGCGUAAAGCGCGCGUAGGUGGCUUGAUAAGCCGGUUGUGAAAGCCCCGGGCUCAACCUGGGAACGGCAUCCGGAACUGUCAAGCUAGAGUGCAGGAGAGGAAGGUAGAAUUCCCGGUGUAGCGGUGAAAUGCGUAGAGAUCGGGAGGAAUACCAGUGGCGAAGGCGGCCUUCUGGACUGACACUGACACUGAGGUGCGAAAGCGUGGGUAGCAAACAGGAUUAGAUACCCCAGUAGUC